rnacentral:miRNA from 1 species
AAUUAGUUUGAACCGCGAAAUAGUGACGUUUGGGCGAGAUUUGUCAAACGUCACUAUUUCGCGGUUCAAACUAAUUGU